GCUUCCGUUGUUGAUCUUAAUAUGCAAGGCAAUCCUGACCUGACUAGGAUCUGCAAUUUCCCCAAGUUGCAAAAUCUUCAUAUCAGCUACUGCCCAAAGCUUGAGUUGCUCCACGAGGUAACUACACUCCGGAGACUCGUGCUGACUCUUCUCUACAGCGAGAAACGACUCCCGUUGUACCUGCAAACUAUAAAGCCGAGACAUUUGCUGCUGGACUGCAGUCCUGAGUUAUUGGCUUGCUUGGCUGCGGGAAAAUCUGGCCCUGAGUGGGACAAAUUCAAUCAUAUCCAACAUGUCGAGGCUUAUGCACAUGAUGGAUGCAUUGAAAAGAGAUGGCAUGUAUUUUACACAAGGGAACCUUACAGCAUAGAAACAAACCUCGAUCUGCAGGUGUGUUCAGAGUCCAAACGUGUACUGCCCUAGUUAUCUCCUCUGAUCCUAUCAGGUGAUAAAGAUGAGGGGUAUAUACAACCAUGACAAAAGUGAAGAAGUGCAUAUGGGCCAUGAUACCGUCGUAACUCGAGAAGAGGAAGGUGGACUAGCAAAUUAAGGAUGCACGGACGUGGAUCCAAGAACAAUGUUAUCUUGCUCCGUUCCCUGUGGUUGGCUGAACUAGUUAUGUAUCGUUCUCUUUUCUUGUUUGUUUGUAGUAGCCGUGUUUUGGAAUUUUAGGCUGUAUAUGGUCUCCUGCUGGGAAACUGUGUUGUACUGAAUCUGCUGAUAUGCAAAAUUCUGGUUACCAGACACUUGGAACUGCUGAGCUUUGCCUCGAAACUGUUGAUAUCCAAAGUUCCUGAAUUGCAA